rnacentral:rRNA from 1 species
UACGUAGGGUGCGAGCGUUGUCCGGAAUUAUUGGGCGUAAAGAGCUCGUAGGCGGUGUGUCGCGUCGGUCGUGAAAACUUGGGGCUUAACCCUGAGCUUGCGGUCGAUACGGGCAUCACUGGAGUUCGGCAGGGGAGACUGGAAUUCCUGGUGUAGCGGUGAAAUGCGCAGAUAUCAGGAGGAACACCGAUGGCGAAGGCAGAUCUCUGGGCCGUAACUGACGCUGAGGAGCGAAAGCGUGGGGAUCAAACAGG